rnacentral:rRNA from 1 species
CCUGAUGGCGAGUGGCGGACGGGUGAGUAAUGCAUAGGAAUCUGCCCUAUAGUGGGGGGACAACUACCGGAAACGGUAGCUAAUACCGCAUAAGCCCUACGGGGGAAAGGCUUCGGCCGCUAUUGGAUGAGCCUAUGUCGGAUUAGCUAGUUGGUAGGGUAAAGGCCUACCAAGGCGACGAUCCGUAGCUGGUCUGAGAGGAUGAUCAGCCACACUGGGACUGAGACACGGCCCAG